rnacentral:rRNA from 1 species
UUGACCUCAAAUCAGGUAGGACUACCCGCUGAACUUAAGCAUAUCANUAAGCGGAGGAAAAGAACUAACAAGGAUUCCCCUAGUAACUGCGAGUGAAGCGGAAAAGUCAAAUUUAAAUCUGGCGGUCU